GACGAACGCUGGCGGCGUGCUUAACACAUGCAAGUGGAGCGACGAACCGGGGCUUGCCCCGGGGCAGAGCCGCGAACGGGUGAGUAACACGUGGGUGUAUCUGCCCUGAUGAUCGGGACAACCCGUCGAAAGACGGGCUAAUACCGAAUGUGCCCGCAAGGGGAAAGGAGGCUUCGGCUUCCGCAUCGGGAUGAGCCCGCGGCCCAUUAGCUUGUUGGUGGGGUAAAGCCUACCAAGGCGACGANGGGUAGCUGGUCUGAGAGGACGAUCAGCCACACUGGGACUGAGACACGGCCCAGACUCCUACGGGAGGCAGCAGUGGGGAAUCUUGCGCAAUGCGCGAAAGCGUGACGCAGCAACGCCGCGUGCGGGAAGACGGCCUC
rnacentral:rRNA from 1 species